CGGAGCGCGGCCGGGUCCGUGUCCCUGUCCCUGUCCCCGUCCCCGUCCCCGUGAUGACUCUGGAGGAGCUGCCCGGAGAGCGCCGCGCCACCGGGAGGAUGGAGCAGGCGGGGGACGCGCUCGAGGAGGUGCUGAGCAAGGCGCUGAGCCAGCGGAGCCUCACCCUCGGUGUCUACGAGGCGGCCAAGCUGCUCAACGUGGAUCCCGAUAACGUGGUGCUGUGCCUGCUGGCGGCCGAGGAGGAAGAAGCGGGGGACGCGGCGCUGCAGAUCCACUUCACUCUGCUGAGGGCCUUCUGCUGCGAGAACGACAUCAACAUCCUGCGCGUCAGCAACCCGGCUCGCCUGGCGCAGCUGCUGCUGCCCGCCGCGGGCCCCGACCCGCCCGCCGACCUGCACUGCGUGCUCGUCACGAACCCGCAGGCAUCGCAGUGGAAGGAUCCAGCGCUGAGCCAGCUGAUGUGUUUCUGCCGGGAGAGCCGGUACCUGGACCAGUGGGUGCCGGUGAUCAACCUCCCCGAGCGGUGACCCCGAGCCCAGCCCUGCCAGAGCUGCAAGAAUUCUCUUUGCACUUGCUCAGGAAGGAACUCCCUGCCCCGGCUCCAGGAUUCUGCGGGGAGGGGAGGGAGGAAAAAAAUAAAAACCCAACAACAGCAACAAAAAAAAAAAAAAUAGAUGUAAAAUAAAAAAGAUGAAAGUGAUGUCGUGGGGAGGGGGGUUUGGAUGCAGUGGAGGCGAGCGAUGCUGAGCGUGGGAGCUGAGGAAAAGGGGGAUGUGUCCUCCCGAGAGCUCCCCUCACCCUUUCUGUCCUUAAGUGCCACUUAAAGUUCCUGCUUUAAACACCUUAAUGAGCAAACAAGGUGAAUCGAGGCCUUUUGCCAGCAAUGUUGUUGUAUUAUUGGGAUGUUAAUUCUCAACGUUUUUAUGCUAAGAUAUAUAAUAAUAGUAAGUUAUUUUCUGAUAUUGAUGGGAAAAUUAUUUAUACUUGGUUUGAGAACCGAAAAUGCCCUCAAGCAGUUGGUCUGCAACCACAAAUCUUCUCCCAGUUGGCUGCAAAAGCAGCGCCGUUAAUAUAAUUGUUUGAAAUUCGAGUGUUUUUUGGGGUUGUGGUGUUCUUGUUUUGUGCUUUUUUUUUUUUUUUUUUUUUUUUUUUUUUUUUUUUUUUUUUGAAAUAAAGUGUAAAAUCAAACCUUUGGCCCAGCUUUUGUGUCCUCACUCCAGGAGCGUGCAGACACAAGGGCUGAGCAGCUGCUGCUUCCUUGUCCUGGCUAUGGGCAAGGUCCUGUUGUGCAGCUCCAGUGUGGGUUCAUUCCCGGCCCCUCCCAAGCAAUUAAAGGCCAAAGCAGCGGCUGUGCUGCAGGAAAUGUUGGCAAUGUUAUUUAUUUAUUUAUUUUGCUUGAAUUGCUGCCACAACAGAAGCUUAAAAAAAAAAAAAGAAAAAUAAAUGGGUUUUUCUGCACGCUCCUGCAGCUCCUCCUUGGCAGGUGGGAAAUCUGAUUCCCUGGAGGAGGAAAACUCAUCCCGGUGUUUCCCUGCAAAUCCCCGGGAUUUGUUUGCAUCCCCGGAUCUCGGGCUGUGCCCCUCGGGGCUGGCAGUGCCAGGCUCCACUUUAGUGACACAGCCAGGCUGGCACAGAUGGCAUCUCUGGUGUGGCAGGAGAAUCCAUCCCCCCCUUGCUGCUGGCACUGCCUGGGGACAGCAGUGACACGUUGUCCCUCCCCGAGGCCACCCAGCCCGACCCCAGGUGUGUCCCAAGGACAGCGGUGACACUGUCCCCCCAGCCCGA